GCCACCAUAGCUCAGUGGUUAGAGCACUGGUCUUGUAAACCAGGGGGUCGUGAUUUCAAUCCUCACUGGUGGCU